GACGAACCGUGCGAACGUUAUUCGGAAUCACUGGGCUUAAAGGGUGCGUAGGCGGCCCUGAAGGCGGGAUGUGAAAUCCAACGGCUCAACCGUUGAACUGCGUCCCGAACCACAGGGCUCGAGGGGAACAGAGGUGAGCGGAACUGGUGGUGGAGCGGUGAAAUGCGUUGAUAUCACCAGGAACACCGGAGGCGAAAGCGGCUCACUGGGUUCCUUCUGACGCUGAGGCACGAAAGCUAGGGUAGCGAAC
rnacentral:rRNA from 1 species